AUGACAUGGAGAAUAAUUUUUGUUUCCAUGCAAGCACCAUGUAAAAUUUCUCUCCCUUGUUUUCAAACUGUCAUUUCCGUUUCCCUUCCAUUACUCUGCAGGUUCUUGGGCACUAUGUCAUGUUUGUAUCAGAACUUAUACCAGAAUGGAGUGAUCUCAGUUUAUGAAAGCUACUGUCCCUGGCUUUGCUCUUGGCACAAUGACCAGAACUUCUGUAGUAGAUGAAUCAUAAUACCUUAAAUUGCCUGUACCUACUUCAGGCUGGAUCCCUCAUUUCUCAUGAAGGACAAAUGACCAGUAACCUCUUCUCUUCCUAUGGGUCCUCACAACUGAGGAUAGCCCUUUGAAGGGAAUUCAAUACUCACCCGAUCUGAGCCUGAUGUGUUAGUGAAAUGAGAUCAUCAAUUACUGUCUGCUUUUCUUCUUGAGGACUUUCUACAUUUAAAUAAAUAAAUGAAUAAAAGUGUCAUGGGUAGGCAAAGAGGAAAGAAUUACUUCAUGUUGGACAAGAAUUUCACAACAUUACCUUCAUGGAUAUGACAUGUGGAAAUGAUGAGACAUAUUGUACAUUUUGAAUUCCAAGGAGUUUGCAGGGAGAUACUAAAGCCAUAGCACUAUGCUGAAGCUUCAUAUCUGGAGAGCAGUUCACAGAUAUGCCCACAGUUCUGUAUCUAACGUAUCAUGGAGUUUUUGAGAAGAACAGUUUCUAGAUGGAACAAUGUCUUAAACAAAGAUUAAUGAAGGAUCAUGAAAAACAGGUACAGAAGAGGUUUUGCAGCUAUAAUUGAUCUGCCUGCCUGCCUGUAUGUGGAUUGUAACUACAGUAGGAUUAGAAGUGCUGGGUUUGAUGUCAGGAGUCUUAUUACUCACAUGAUUAUUAAUUAUGUCUCUCAACCAGGGAAGCUGAGUAACAAGGCUCAGGAGAUUUGCCCCUUUCUGACUCUGAUAUAGCAUCAGCAUGCCCUCUAUCCUCAAAGGAUCAUUAAGGGGUCACGCUGAACCCUUUGAAUUAGCAAUAAUAGAGCUCUUGCUGCAAACAGCAAAGUUGUCCAGUUCUGCAGGCUGCUCUCCCCAAGCUCAGAGGUUUGACAUGAGGCACAGGGAGUCUCUGAAUUCACGUCUCAUGAGAAAUAGGUGAAGGUUAGUAAAUUUUGCUAUCUGCAUGCAAAAUUAACGGGUAUGCUCCUUUCUGCUAUGAAUAAGGAACAUCCACACCUAAAGGGCUGUUGACUUGUUCUAUUAGGAGCAAUGUUAUUCUUCAGUGUAACAGCAUUUAAGCUCAUUGACAGGCACAGCAACUGUCCACAUUUGUCAUAUCACCUGAUGUCGUCACCAGGCAAAAAAGCUAAUGAAAGAAUUAAUUCAUCAGGAAUGCAUGUAGAUAUAAUGAAUGCAACUCACACAGUUAAUCCAUCCACAUGUACUGUGUGAGUAGACCAUUGCUGAUGUAAUGAAAAACAACAUAGGUACACAAUGUAAACAGACCCUAUCAGAAUAGAAUUGUCUGGACACACCUACACGGGAUGCUAUGUCGCCAUUGUGACAUGGUAUGGCAACGUAGCAUCCAUGGGUGUCUACAUAUGACCCAAAAGGAAGUA